UUUUUUUUUUGAGAACAUGAGGCAAAUCACAGCGUGUUUUACAACAGAAAGGUCUCAGACUCAAUUCAAGUUUAAAAGGGCUUUGGGUUUAUUCAUAUCUUCCCCAACUCUAUCAGAAGAACCACAUUCUAAACUGGUUUAUUAGUGGUAUUGGUUACAUUCAAAGAUUGGCAUGGACUUUCUCUAAAGAGAUGAAGCCCCCAACUACUGAGGGAAAGGCAGAUAUGGAGGCCCCAAGGUGAGGCAUAUCUUCCAAAGUGGAAGUCUCAACAACCCCGUGGUUCAAUUUCCUGGGAUAAUCACAUCCCUAGGGAUGGAGCACAGGGCACUUGGAAGCCAGAAGUAGGCAGUGGAGUGGCAGCCAGGGUUCCUGUGCCCUACAGACCAGUUAGCGCACAUCAUUAAGCUGCCGUGCAACAUCCAGGAUGUUCUUGGCUCCUUUGUUGAGCAGCAAGCUGGCCAGGCUGAUGCCCAGGUUCUCAGCAGCUAGCUGGGCUCCUCUUGGAAUGUUACGGGCAGUGAUUCCAACCAGUUGUGGGUCAUCUUCUGGACCAUCUUCUUGCUGGAUGACAGGUUACAAUUUUGGUAAGAGGAAGAUUACAAGCAGUUCUAUUUAUUCCUUCCUCAUCUCCCAGUCAAUACCUGAACAGGGACCUGGAUGGUGGCCUGCAUAGUCUCUUGCAUGCUAUCUGAGCCAUCUAGACUCCAGACUCCACCAGUCAGGUACAGCUAGGAAAUAAAAUGUUUGUACCAGGAUAUUUAAAGAAAGUUACUUAGAUGUUUCGGUGCACAUGGAAAUGACAGUCCCUCCCCUCAUCCAUUUCCCUGGCUUACUUGCCCAUCUUUCAUCACUGUAUGCACUGCUACGGGCACGCUGCAGCCUCCUUCCUGCAAUGAUAUGUUCCUUUGAGCUCUAAGGGCCUUUAACACCACUUUUGACCACAGACCUCAAGGGGCCAGAUCAAGGUCCUCUCCAUACAUACAAAACAUUACAUACUGAGUACUUGACAAAUCUCUCUCCCUACUGCCCUUCCUGGUUUCCCCACAACACCAUGGGAGGAGCCCAUCUUACCAGGUGCCUCAGAAAAGCCCUUUCAGCAAUGCAGCGAAGCAGAGUUUCAGGAUCGUGCAACACACUCACUAGGUCCAAGAUAUCCUGGUCCUUGGCUCGGACUUCCACGGCUAGGGCUCCCUAAAGAACAACAGGCCUGAUCUUCUCUAGUAAUAGAGCUAAGCAUGAGAAACACACCUCUACCUGCUUCCCUGGGUCUUAUGCAUAACAACCAAACCUGUCCCUCUCUAAACAUCUUAUUUGAUGGAUAGCAGGUGCCAAAGGUUAUGAACCAGGUUCUCUCCAGGCAAACCUACCUGACCCACAGCAUACAUGCAUUCUUCUGGGUGCAAAAUCUGUGGAGAGAGACAAGAUGGUGGGAUAGGGGAUGUUCAAAGGCAGUGAGCUAGGGUUUGCCAAUCUAGGAAGCCUGGGGAAGGCACAGGUAGGAAGUCCAGCAAUGAGUCCCAAUAUCCCUAGCCUGGGCUUCUGGUUGUAGUGUUGUUGGCAGAAUGGUCAGGAAGAAAUCAAGGCAGGAGAGAGGCAGAUUCAAUGGGAAGCAGAACAGGGCAGCUCCUACCUGGCCCACCCGGUUCUGCCAGCCCAUGCGCUGUAGGCCAGCCACAGCCAGGACGAUGGCACUGAAUUCCUGCAGCUCAUCCAGCUUCCGGAGGCGGGUGUUGAGGUUUCCCCGCUGUGGAGCGUUGCUAAGGAGAAGUCAAGACCUACCCAGUGCACCCUCUGCCCCACAGUCUCUUUUCCCCCCUCUAGCUAACUUUUAAAAAACUUUUGUUUUUGUUGAGUGGUGGUGUAUACACCUUUAAAUCCCAGCACUGGAGGCAGAUACAGAUCUCCAUGAAUUCAAGGCUAAAUCUGGUCUACAGAGAGAGUUCCAGGACAGGCUGGGCUAUACAGAAAAAGCCUGUCUAGAAAAAUGGUAGAAAUG
rnacentral:lncRNA from 1 species